rnacentral:rRNA from 1 species
GGUUCUCUCCGAAAUAGCUUUAGGGCUAGCCUCAAGUGAUGAUUAUUGGAGGUAGAGCACUGUUUGGACGAGGGGCCCCUCUCGGGUUACCGAAUUCAGACAAACUCCGAAUGCCAAUUAAUUUAACUUGGGAGUCAGAACAUGGGUGAUAAGGUCCGUGUUCGAAAGGGAAACAGCCCAGACCACCAGCUAAGGUCCCAAAAUAUAUGUUAAGUGGAAAAGGAUGUGGCGUUGCCCAGACAACUAGGAUGUUGGCUUAGAAGCAGCCAUCAUUUAAAGAGUGCGUAAUAGCUCACUAGUCGAGUGACACUGCGCCGAAAAUGUACCGGGGCUAAACAUAUUACCGAAGCUGUGGAUUGUCCUUUGGACAAUGGUAGGAGAGCGUUCUAAGGGCGUUGAAGCAUGAUCGUAAGGACAUGUGGAGCGCUUAGAAGUGAGAAUGCCGGUGUGAGUAGCGAA